GCUGAAGACAGGCAAAAGCUCUGACAAGACUUUGAUCCUUCUUCAAGGCCUGGGAAUAACCUCAGGCAGCCAGGACCUGCUCUGCCUGUGGGGCUCACAGAUUGCAUGAAGUGCAAGGAUGAGCUGAAAG